rnacentral:rRNA from 1 species
CGUAGGCGCAAGCGUUGUCCGGAAUUAUUGGGCGUAAAGGGCUCGUAGGCGGUUUGUCGCGUCUGCUGUGAAAGCCCGGGGCUCAACCCCGGGUCUGCAGUGGUACGGGCAGACUAGAGUGCAGUAGGGGAGACUGGAAUUCCUGGUGUAGCGGUGAAAUGCGCAGAUAUCAGGAGGAACACCGAUGGCGAAGGCAGGUCUCUGGGCUGUUACUGACGCUGAGGAGCGAAAGCAUGGGAGCGAACAGGAUU